CAUUGUAAAUAAGAUUUUGUUCUUAACUGACCAGCCUGGUUAAAUAAAGGUUAAAAUAAAUAAAUAUGCUCUCCUCCCUUGACUGCUAUCAUUAGUCAAUACUUCCAAACCAUUCAAAUUAAUUUAAAAUGGACGCCAAUAAGUAUUCUCUCAUUAUUCCCAAACUCAUACAUUUUUCCUUGUCUGAGGAGCAUUCCGGUAUGUUGGGUCAUGGGGUCUAAAUUUGUCAAACCAGGAUGCCACCAUGUUGCAGUCUGAUGAAACACGACAGUGGCUGAUCCAGUCCUUGUAGCCAGUGAGGAGUGGUUGAUCCAGUCCUUGUAGCCAGUAAGGUCAGUGGCUGAUCCAGUCCUUGUAGCCAGUAAGGUCAGUGGCUGAUCCAGUCCUUGUAGCCAGUGAGGAGUGGUUGAUCCAGUCCUUGUAGCCAGUAAGGUCAGUGGCUGAUCCAGUCCUUGUAGCCAGUAAGGUCAGUGUCUGAUCCAGUCCUUGUAGCCAGUGAGGACAGUGGCUGAUCCAGUCCUUGUAGCCAGUAAGGUCAGUGGCUGAUCCAGUCCUUGUAGCCAGUGAGGUCAGUGUCUGACCCAGUCCUUGUAGCCAGUAAGGUCAGUGUCUGACCCAGUCCUUGUAGCCAGUGAGGACAGUGGCUGAUCCAGUCCUUGUAGCCAGUGAGGACAGUGGCUGACCCAGUCCUUGUAGCCAGUAAGGUCAGUGGCUGAUCCAGUCCUUGUAGCCAGUGAGGACAGUGUCUGAUCCAGUCCUUGUAGCCAGUGAGGACAGUGGCUGAUCCAGUCCUUGUAGCCAGUGAGGACAGUGGUUGAUCCAGUCCUUGUAGCCAGUGAGGACAGUGGCUGAUCCAGUCCUUGUAGCCAGUGAGGACAGUGGCUGAUCCAGUCCUUGUAGCCAGUGAGGACAGUGUCUGAUCCAGUCCUUAUAGCCAGUGAGGACAGUGGCUGAUCCAGUCCUUGUAGCCAGUGAGGACAGUGGCUGAUCCAGUCCUUGUAGCCAGUGAGGACAGUGGCUGAUCCAGUCCUUGUAGCCAGUAAGGACAGUGUCUGAUCCAGUCCUUGUAGCCAGUGAGGACAGUGGCUGAUCCAGUCCUUGUAGCCAGUGAGGACAGUGGCUGACCCAGUCCUUGUAGCCAUUGAGGACAGUGGCUGACCCAGUCCUUGUAGCCAGUGAGGACAGUGGCUGAUCCAGUCCUUGUAGCCAGUGAGGUCAGUGUCUGACCCAGUCCUUGUAGCCAGUAAGGUCAGUGUCUGACCCAGUCCUUGUAGCCAGUAAGGUCAGUGUCUGACCCAGUCCUUGUAGCCAGUGAGGACAGUGGCUGAUCCAGUCCUUGUAGCCAGUGAGGUCAGUGUCUGACCCAGUCCUUGUAGCCAGUAAGGUCAGUGUCUGACCCAGUCCUUGUAGCCAGUGAGGACAGUGGCUGAUCCAGUCCUUGUAGCCAGUGACGAUGUGGCUAUUUUUGACAUAUGGAAGGCGGAGAAGCAGGUAAGUAUAGAGCAGUUCAAGAUUAUUUCCAUGUGCAAUAAAAAAUAUCCAUGAAUUUAGAUAGACAAUUGAAAAAAGAGACAGAGAAAAGCUCUUUGGAUUA